rnacentral:rRNA from 1 species
UACGGAGGGAGCUAGCGUUGUUCGGAAUUACUGGGCGUAAAGCGCACGUAGGCGGUCAGCCAAGUCAGAGGUGAAAGCCCGGAGCUCAACUUCGGAACUGCCUUUGAAACUAUCUGACUAGAAUCUUGGAGAGGCGGGUGGAAUUCCGAGUGUAGAGGUGAAAUUCGUAGAUAUUCGGAAGAACACCAGUGGCGAAGGCGGCCCGCUGGACAAGUAUUGACGCUGAGGUGCGAAAGCGUGGGGAGCAAACAGG